rnacentral:rRNA from 1 species
CCUACGGGAGGCAGCAGUGAGGAAUAUUGGUCAAUUGGCGCAAGCCUGAACGAGCGAUGCCGCGUGAGUGAAGAAGGCCUUCGGGUCGUAAAGCUCUGUUGCGGGGGAAAAAAGGCAGCAUCAGGAAAUGGGUGCUGACUGAUGGUGCGCCGCCAGAAAGUCACGGCUAACUACGUGCCAGCAGCCGCGGUAAUACGUAGGUGGCGAGCGUUAUCCGGAAUGGUUGGGCGUAAAGGGUGCGCAGGCGGUCCUGCAAGUCUGGAGUGAAACGCAUGAGCUCAACCAAUGCAGUGCUUUGGAAACUGGAGGACUGGAGAGUAGGAGAGGGCGGUGGAACUCCAGGUGUAGCGGUAAAAUGCGUAGAUAUAUGGAAGAACCCCAGUGGCGAAGGCGGCCGCCUGGCCUGUUGCUGACGCUGAGGCACGAAAGCGUGGGGAGCAAAUAGGAUUAGAUACCCUAGUAGUC